AUUGAACGCUGGCGGCAGGCCUAACACAUGCAAGUCGAGCGGAUGAAGGGAGCUUGCUCCUGGAUUCAGCGGCGGACGGGUGAGUAAUGCCUAGGAAUCUGCCUGGUAGUGGGGGAUAACGUCCGGAAACGGGCGCUAAUACCGCAUACGUCCUGAGGGAGAAAGUGGGGGAUCUUCGGACCUCACGCUAUCAGAUGAGCCUAGGUCGGAUUAGCUAGUUGGUGGGGUAAAGGCCUACCAAGGCGACGAUCCGUAACUGGUCUGAGAGGAUGAUCAGCCACACUGGAACUGAGACACGGUCCAGACUCCUACGGGAGGCAGCAGUGGGGAAUAUUGGACAAUGGGCGAAAGCCUGAUCCAGCCAUGCCGCGUGUGUGAAGAGGGUCUUCGGAUUGUAAAGCACUUUAAGUUGGGAGGAAGGGCAGUAAGUUAAUACCUUGCUGUUUUGACGUUACCAACAGAAUAAGCACCGGCUAACUUCGUG
rnacentral:rRNA from 1 species